GAUGAACGCUGGCGGCGUGCUUAACACAUGCAAGUCGAACGGAAAGGCCGAAGCUUGCUUCGGUACUCGAGUGGCGAACGGGUGAGUAACACGUGGGUGAUCUGCCCUGUACUUCGGGAUAAGCUUGGGAAACUGGGUCUAAUACCGGACAUGAGGAACUCUUGGAUGGGGGUGUGGAAAGCUUUGGCGUUGUGGGAUAAGCUCGCGGCCUAUAAGAUUGUUGGUGGGGUAAUGGCCUACCAAGGCGCAGACGGGUAGCCGGCCUGAGAGGGUGUACGGCGACAUUGGACAUGGGAUACGGCACAGACUCCUACGGGCGGCAGGAGUGAGGAAUAUGGAAUAAUGGGCGAAAGAGUGAUGCAGGGACGCGGCGUGGGGGAUGAGGGCCUUAGUGUUGUAAACUGCUUACGCAAUUGACGAAGGCUUUUGGUGACGGUAGGUGGCGAAGAAGCACCGGCUAAAUACGUG
rnacentral:rRNA from 1 species